GAUGCUGAACUCCUGGAUACUAUAGAAUACAUUAACAUGUCAAGAAAACAAUACUCUGUACAGCACGUUCUGGAGGGCACAAGCCGUAUAUCACAAGAGCAUGGCAACCACAGAGGUGACAUGAGCCCAUCAUAUGGAGAAAUGCAUCACUCAAAAUCAAACUGCAACACCACGGAAAACUCACCUUGGCAGAGUUCUCAAAUGAGAAUUUCACCUUAAAGAGAAAACUGGGUCAGCUGCUUAAUCCUGAAGCGGGGAAUCUUACUAUCUCAUUUUAGUUAAGGUGCAUCUCAUUCUAUCAAAAGUAAACCUGGGUUUAUAACCUACAUCAAUCUUCCUUAGAAUGCAUUUCACCUCUCACUCCAUGACUUUACCCCAUAAUUGCUGCAUGUAUGCCUUAUAAUAUAAAAUACCAGCCUUUGUCCAAAAGGCUCUACAUUGAAUUUUUUCUUCAUUUGCUUACUGGCCACCAUCAAGCUCUAGACCGAAAAAUGAUAAUUGUCCCUCUGUCUUUAUGCAUGAGUGGCAAAUGAAUACUUCAGUCACUAUCUACAUGUUGAUUUGGAUCUUCAAUGGUGCAGCUGGAGGAGGGCUAUGGGGCAGUGUUUUUUGUUUGUUUGUUUGCUUUCUUGCUUUGUUUUCUCCUCUUGCAGACCCGUGGAAUCAGAAUCUUUGGGAAUGAAUAUCGGCAAGGGAGACAUCUACUUAGAAACUGAAAUGCAAGCUCAGAAAACAGUUUCAAAUCUGGUGGCUUCUCCCAACCAGAAUGCAGGCACUGCUUCUGCUUCCCCCAUCCGGGAACUGCUCAUGCUCCCAUCUCUGCUGCAGAGAACUUCCUUGUAAAGAUGCACUUAUGCAUAUUCUGGAGAGAUGAGUUCAGUGACUAUGUCAUUUGUUAAAAGAAGAGAGGUUAAGAUAGAUAUACUCCUGUCCUGGACACUGGAAUUGUUGAAAUUAAUUUUUCUUCAACAGCUGAUUUAUCAUAGCCAGAACUUCAUAGGAAAACGUGAUCCCUUGUUUCUUAUGCAUGCUGCUGCACUUAAGGCCAGAGACUUUUUUUUUUACAUGAAAUUCAUUUGUACUUGAAAAUUCAGAGGAACUUCAUGCACAUCUACUUGCUUAGAAUAAUGCCAGCAAUACUAGUUCUGGAUAAGUUUCAUCGCUGUCACGGGGCCUUAAAAUGACUUUAAGCUGUCUUUUGCUGUCUUCCUAAAUGCUGGCUGGUAGCCCAGACUGAAUUCUGAAAAGGAAAGUAGCUGUCUAAAUAAAAAUAAUAACUGUUUACCACCGAAAGUAUCUUUGGAUGAAAUUUAACCUUUUGUGAAAAAAAACAACACCACUAACUUUGUGAGCAGGAUUCAUAUAGUCCACUUUAAGCAGUGAUCAUAGAAAUAAGACACGGCAGAAUAAAGUCAGAGCAAGACUACAGGAGUUAUUGUAUAAGAAUAGGAACUAUGGGAAUACAGCAUUAAAAAACUGUUCUAGGGU